rnacentral:rRNA from 1 species
GAUGAACGCUAGCGGCAGGCCUAAUACAUGCAAGUCGAACGGUGUCUUCGGACAUAGUGGCGCACGGGUGCGUAACACGUAUGCAACCUACCUUACAUUGGGGGAUAGCCUUUCGAAAGGGAGAUUAAUACCGCAUAAGACAGUAGCUGGGCAUCCAGCAGCUGUUAAAGAUUUAUCGAUGUAAGCUGGGCAUGCGUCGAAUUAGCUAGUUGGUGAGGUAACGGCUCACCAAGGCAAUGAUUGGUAGGGGAACUGAGAGGUCAAUCCCCCACACUGGCACUGAGAUACGGGCCAGACGCCUACGGGAGGCAGCAGUAGGGAAUAUUGGGCAAUGGACGCAAGUCUGACCCAGCCAUGCCGCGUGCAGGAUGAAGGCGUUAUGCGUUGUAAACUGCUUUUAUACAGGAAGAAACGACUCUUGCGAGAGGCAUUGACGGUACUGUAUGAAUAAGCACCGGCUAACUCCGUGCCAGCCGCCGCGGUAAAAC